rnacentral:rRNA from 1 species
AUACGGAGGGUGCAAGCGUUACUCGGAAUCACUGGGCGUAAAGCGCGCGCAGGCGGCUAUUUAAGUUGGAUGUGAAAGCCUACGGCUCAACCGUAGAACUGCAUCCAAAACUAUUUAGCUAGAGUGUGGGAGAGGAAGAUGGAAUUAGUUGUGUAGGGGUAAAAUCCGUAGAGAUAACUAGGAAUACCAAAAGCGAAGGCAAUCUUCUGGAACACUACUGACGCUGAGGCGCGAAAGCGUGGGGAGCAAACAGAAUUAGAAACCCCAGUAGUCC